rnacentral:lncRNA from 1 species
GCUGAUCCCGAAGGCUCUGGGAGUGGGUGAAGCCUUGAUGCCGAUCGGACCCCCGCUGGGACCGGGCGGAGAAAGGCAAGGCAGGUUUCAAAGCCCAUUUCACAGAUUCCCUUCUGGCCUGAUGAGGAGAGAUUAGUUUCAGCCAGGCCACCCAAGAGGCAUCGGCAAAGCCAGAACUAACACCCAGAUUUCCUUCAUUCCAGGGACAGAGGUGGGGAAUCACAGGGCUGCGCUGUAUUAGCCCUCCUAGUACCCUCUCAGUCCGAGGAUUCUCACAUGGGAGGCUACUGGACAGGUCUGUCCACGUACCCAUUUCACAGAUGGAAAAACUGAGGCCUUGUGUGUACCUGGCUGCUGUAGGAGGCUCUCGCACCACCCAGAUCCUCUGAUGCGCUUGUUUGCGGGGUCUCUGUGGACAGGAGAAAAAGGCAAAGGCUGAUUGGGCGCGGUGGCUCACGCCUGUAAUCCCAGCACUUUGGGAUGCCGAGGUGGGCAGAGCAUCUGAGGUCGGGAGUUCGAGACCAACCUGACCAAUAUGGAGAAACCUUGUCUCUACUAAAAAUACAAAAUUAGACGAGCGUGGUGGCGCAUGGCUGUAAUCCCAGCUACUCAGGAGGCUGAGGCAGGAGAAUCGCCUGAACCCGUGGGCGGAGGUCGCGGUGAGCCAAGAUUGUGCCAUUGCACUCCAACCUGGGCAACAAGAGCGAAACUCCCGGCCGG